GACAUCUCAUGCAAAUAAAUUUUUGUUUAACUAAUAUAUACAUCUCACGCAUACGUUGUUUUAAACAUAACCUUAAACAAGUAUGAACAUUAUGAUUACCAUAUGCAUCUCAUGUAUAUUUUCAGAUCUGAAAUUUUAAACCUAUUAUGCUAUUCUCUAGAUUUCAGAUCAUGCAUUACUUGAUUUAAAACAUUGUAAUCUAAUUGCAAUUCUAAAAUAAUUUGCAACAUUAUAGCAAAUAAAAAUCUGCAUGCUGAAAAUUUCAGCAACCUGAAAUUUCAGCACGCAGAAAAUCCAGCAAGCAUAAUUCCUUUAAAAAUCAGAUUAAAAACGUGGUAACCAAUUCUUAGGUCCUAAUCAUGCUUCCUAGAACCAUGGCUCUGAUACCACUGUUGAGUUACACCCCGUUCGAUGCGACGUUCGCAGCGGAAUUCGAACGGGACGUCGUUCAUCGCAUGAACGCGCCUCGGAUCAUAGAAUUCAAAAAAAAUUUCUGAAUCCAAAUCCAGAAGAUCUUUGAAUUCAUUAGGCAGGGAAGAUUAGGAUCUGAGGAAGGUUGAUUAAGAUUCAUAAAACUGAAACUAAAAUCAGAAAAAACUAAUUUGAAGAUCUCAUCUUCAAAAAUUCUGCAGGUGAAGAACACUGCAGCCUGAUGAUCUAUCUAGGUUCUCGUUUGAGCUACACAAUUGUCCGGCCUCUACAGGUAUCCACAUGAAGAUCUAAUCAUCUGAGAUAGAAUCUUACCGGAGUGCUAGCUCCUUGCAAAGACCUCUCAUGGCGAUCAUAUAGAUUAGAUGAUAAAAAUUUGCAAUAUACCUCCUUAAAGAAGAACCCUUUCUUUUUCAACCUCGCUCGCGAUGAAGGAAGAGGAAGGAGGAACCUUGCACGUGGAUCUUCCUUGCCUUGCUACCGUGGAAGAAGAGGAGGAUGAAGACCCCUUGCUGCCGUGGAGAAGGAGGAAGAAAGAAGAGGAGGCAUGGAGAGGAAGAGGAGAGAAUUAAUUCAUAACUUCUCCCUUGCUACCCUUUUAUAGAUUGGGUUUAAGGCUCCUCCUAAUCUUAUUAGGAGUAUGGGACUAUAACCCAUCCUUGGAUUAAUGCCAAGUGUCCAAUCCUUGUGCUCAUAGAUGCAUGACAUGUGUCUAUUUAAUCAAUUGAUUAAUUUUCUAAUCAUGUUAGGAUUCCUAAUCUCAUUAGGAGAAUUAACUGAUUUGGAAGCAUGCAUCCUACGACGCCAUGUGGACUUUAAAGUCCGCAUAGUGUGAACAUGACUUAAGUCAUAUUCAUCCUACAAUGACAUGUGGUCUUUAAAAUCCGCACAAACCUUGGUUUAAUCAAAUUGACCCAAUCAUGAACCCAAAUCAAUUUGGGUCGAAUCCAAUUUGAUUUGGCUCAUUAAAUCAGCCCAAUUGCAAUCCUAUUGCAAUCAAUUCCACUUAAUUCUUCUUCCAUUAACUCACUAAUACUUAGUGGGUUAAUUCAAUCACCAAUCAUAUGGAUGAUUGAUUUCUAUUAUGAUUCCAAAUCACAAUUAUGAUAGUCUAACUAAUUAAAUCCUUUAUGUGUGUGAUCCCGUAGGUUCUAUUCUGACUGGUAGUGAGAAAUAUUGAGAUCUUCAUCUCAAUAUCACUGAAACUCCUUUCAGUGGACUGAAACGAUUUCAGUUCUACUCUUAGGGUUCACUGUUCACCAAGUGAAUGCCUUCGAGUCUCACAAUCCACUAGUGACACCUAGCAGUAUGUGGUGGCAACCCAGCAAAAUGGAAUAUCUGAACCUCUUGGUGUAGUUAGCGUAUGAUACAGUCCCUCUAUCAUGGAUCCCGACGUGAUGGAGCUUAUGGAUAUCUCGUCAAACCCCAUCGUCUGUCAUAUGUCAAAUUUAUACGACUUCCAGUUCGAGAUAUGAAAAACUCUUUUUUCAAAAUAUCUGACCAGAAAUUUAUCGAACUCAGUCUCAUAAGUCAUAUAGGGUCACUCCUAAUCUAUCAAGGUCGAUAGAUUCUAUCUAGAUGCAACCCUGUUCCAAAAUGAACCUACUGCAGCCAAUUCGCACUACAAAGAUCCGAAUGACUAGAGUCCAAGUUCACAUGCUCGUCAAACUACAGCAACCUCACAGUGAAUAGCUGAGGCAUCGUAGGUCAAAGGACCAGUCAUACAACUGCAGUAUAAGUAGUCACUGACGAGUGGAUAGACAUCC
rnacentral:lncRNA from 1 species